AUCCCCCACACUGGUACUGAGACACGGACCAGACUCCUACGGGAGGCAGCAGUGAGGAAUAUUGGUCAAUGGAGGCAACUCUGAACCAGCCAUGCCGCGUGCAGGAUGACGGUCCUAUGGAUUGUAAACUGCUUUUGUACGGGAAGAAAUGUAAUUACGUGUAAUUAUUUGACGGUACCGUAAGAAUAAGGAUCGGCUAACUCCGUGCCAGCAGCCGCGGUAA
rnacentral:rRNA from 1 species